GCUAUUGAGAAUGAAGAUUUUUUGGGGGCUGUGGAGUUGUAUUUGUUUGCGAGGCAUAUCAGCACAGGUCUACAAUUUCGUGUAAAUGAUGAUGUCCAAUCAGAUAAAAAAUUUAAUUGGAUGAAGCUUGCUGAGAGACAAUGGAAUAUGAUUUCUACAUUCAAUGAGACGAUUAAAAAUGCUUGUAAUGAAGCACUGAAAUGUCCUGAUAUUAAAACAGAGACCGCUGUUUGUUGCAUAUGCACCCUAUGUCUAUUACAAGAUCAAC